rnacentral:rRNA from 1 species
AGCGUAUAUUAAAGUUGUUGCAGUUAAAAAGCUCGUAGUUGAAUUUCGGGGUUAGUAGGUUGGUCAUGCCUCUGGUAUGUACUGGUCUCACUGAUUCCUCCUUCCUGAUGAACCUUAAUGCCAUUAAUUGGGUGUUUUGGGGAAUUUGGACUGUUACUUUGAAAAAAUUAGAGUGUUUAAAGCAAGCUAACGCUUGAAUACAUUAGCAUGGAAUAAUGAAAUAGGACGUUCGAUCCUAUUUUGUUGGUUUCUAGGAUUGACGUAAUGAUUAAUAGGGAUAGUUGGGGGCAUUAGUAUUCAAUUGUCAGAGGUGAAAUUCUUGGAUUUAUUGAAGACUAACUACUGCGAAAGCAUUUGCCAAGGAUGUUUUCAUUAAUCAAGAACGAAAGUUAGGGGAUCGAAGACGAUCAGAUACCGUCGUAGUCUUAACCAUAAACUAUGCCGACUAGGGAUCGGAUGAUGUUAAUUUUUUAAUGACUC